GUCGUCAGCUCGUGUCGUGAGAUGUUCGGUUAAGUCCGCUAACGAGCGCAACCCUCACUGUGUGUUAUAUGUGUCACACGGGACCGCCGGUCUUAAGCCGGAGGAAGGUGGGAUGACGUCAAGUCAGCAUGGCCUUUAUAUCCUGGGCUACACACACGCUACAAUGGCCAACACAAUAGGUUGCUAAGCCGCGAGGUGGAGCCAAUCCAUAAAGUUGGUCUCAGUUCAGAUUGUAGGCUGCAACCCGCCUGCAUGAAGAUGGAGUUGCUAGUAACCGCAGGUCAGCUAUACUGCGGUGAAUACGUUCCCGGGGCUU
rnacentral:rRNA from 1 species